rnacentral:rRNA from 1 species
CCUACGGGAGGCAGCAGUAACGAAUCUUCCGCAAUGCGCGAAAGCGUGACGGGGCAAUGCCGCGUGCAGGAUGAAGCCCCUCGGGGUGUAAACUGCUGUCAGGGUGCAGGAAAGAAAUGACCAUACCCAAAGGAAGCACCGGCUAACUCUGUGCCAGCAGCCGCGGUAAUACAGAGGGUGCGAGCGUUAAUCGGAAUCACUGGGCUUAAAGGGUGCGUAGGCGGGUGCAUAGGCGCUUUGUGAAAUCCCACGGCUCAACCGUGGAAUUGCUUGGCGAACCAUGCAUCUUGAGGUUGGUAGAGGUCACUGGAACGAUAGGUGGAGCGGUGAAAUGCGUAGAUAUCUAUCGGAACGCCAAAGGUGAAGACAGGUGACUGGGCCAAAUCUGACGCUGAGGCACGAAAGCGUGGGGAGCAAACGGGAUUAGAUACCCCGGUAGUCCACGCUGUAAACGAUGCAUACUUGGUCGGAGCGGUUUGACUCCGUUCCGGCCGUAGGAAAACUGAUGAGUAUGCCGCUUGGGGAGUACGGUCGCAAGAUUAAAACUCAAAUGAAUUGACGG